AAAUACAUAUGACAAUCAAAACUCAAUGAAAAAUAUGUUUGAAAAUUUUAUUUGGUUUGUGUGAAAACUAAUGAUGUUACUAUUUUUGUCAAGCUAACUCCACCAAUAACUCAUAGCUGAUGAUAUUUCAGAAUACAUUCCAUUACAGGAGUUAUUACAUGUUUUGGACCUCAGAACAAUCAGUGAAGGUGGCGAAAUUUCAAAAUGCAGCUGACAGGGAAAACCAGUGAGAAUAGGCAGAGCAAGAUGCUCUAGAUCAGAUGAUCGACACAUGCACCCACACAGAUUUCACAACAAUGUUCCAAAACUUUCAAGAUCAAUUAAUAUAGUUAUUUUGUUAAGAAGAAUUAUUAACUCAUUAAUGAAUUGUUCAACUUUUUUCUAGUUUUAACUUUAGUUGUACAAUCAUUUGGAACACCUUGUGGCAGGCAAGUGUACGUUUGGGGGGAUGUAGCCAAAUACGAUGACAUAGGUCCAUCUUGUGAAUCUAGAGAAAAAUCACCUUCAGAGUUGGAAAUUAUUUACGAAACAUUAUUGAAGGAGAAAAUGGAUGAGAGCAUAGAGAACUUUUUAAGUACAGUGUUGAAAGUGCAGAUAGUACUCUCGUUCUUUUCGAUCGUGACCAUAUUCAGUGUGAUAAUUCUAAGAAAGAAUGAUUUCAUCAUUCAUUUGGACAGAAAGUUUGGCAAAAAAACAAGUAUUGGUGCUCCUGAUGAUGCUGUAGUCAACUAAUGCAAAUAAACAAUUCGCAUAAAUUUG